AGAGGUGGCGAGCGUUGUUCGGAUUUACUGGGCGUAAAGGGUGCGUAGGCGGUUCGGUAUGUCAGGCGUGAAAUCUCACCGUCCAACGGUGAAACUGCGUUUGAAACUGCCGGACUAGAGUACAGGAAGGGAGAGCGGAAUUCUCGGUGUAGCGGUGAAAUGCGUAGAUAUCGAGAAGAACACCGGCGGCGAAGGCGGCUCUCUGGGCUGAUACUGACGCUGAGGCACGAAAGCUGGGGGAGCGAACAGGGAUUAGAUACCCUGGUAGUCCCAGCCGUAAACGGUGUGCACUUGGUGUGGGCGGUCUUGUCCCCCCGUCCGUGCCGUAGCUAACGCGUUAAGUGCACCGCCUGGGGAGUACGGCCCGCAAGGCUAA
rnacentral:rRNA from 1 species